rnacentral:rRNA from 1 species
UACGUAGGGUGCGAGCGUUAAUCGGAAUUACUGGGCGUAAAGCGUGCGCAGGCGGUGAUGUAAGACAGGUGUGAAAUCCCCGGGCUUAACCUGGGAACUGCAUUUGUGACUGCAUCGCUGGAGUGCGGCAGAGGGGGAUGGAAUUCCGCGUGUAGCAGUGAAAUGCGUAGAUAUGCGGAGGAACACCGAUGGCGAAGGCAAUCCCCUGGGCCGGUACUGACGCUGAGGAGCGAAAGCGUGGGUAGCAAACAGGG